AUUGAACGCUGGCGGCGUGCUUAACACAUGCAAGUCGAUCGGUAACGCGGGGGCAACCCUGGCGACGAGAGGCGGACGGGUGAGGAACGCUUGGGAAUCUGCCCUUCAGCGGGGGACAACACGGGGAAACUCGUGCUAAUACCGCAUACGCUCCACGGAGGAAAGCCGGGGACCGCAAGGCCUGGCACUGAAGGAUGAGCCCAAGUCGGAUUAGCUAGUUGGCGGGGUAACGGCCCACCAAGGCGACGAUCCGUAGCUGGUCUGAGAGGACGAUCCGCCACACUGGGACUGAGACACGGCCCAGACUCCAACGGGAGGCAGCAGUGGGGAAUAUUGGACAAUGGGGGAAACCCUGAUCCAGCGACGCCGCGUGGGUGAAGAAGGCCUGCGGGUUGUAAAGCCCUUUCGGUAGGGACGAAAUCGCACGGGCUAAUACCCUGUGUGGAUGACGGUACCGGAAUAAGAAGCACCGGCUAACUACGUGCCAGCAGCCGCGGUAAGAC
rnacentral:rRNA from 1 species